rnacentral:tRNA from 1 species
GCACUUGUAGCUUAAUUGGAUAGAGCACCUGACUACGGAUCAGGAGGUUAGGGGUUCGACUCCCUUCAAGUGCACCU